rnacentral:lncRNA from 1 species
GAAACAUCAGUGAGGGAAGCCAUUUUCAAUGGGAUGCUCAUCUGCAGAUAACUCUGAGAUCUCAGACACAGAAAGGAUCCUGAGAACUUCUGCUGGGAGAGAGGAUGGUUACUAUUUGGGUCGUAGAUAAAUGAAUGGGAACAUCACAAGACAGUACGUAGGAAUAAAUGGGAUCAGAUUGAAUACAGACAGGCAUCCUGGCAAAGAAUCAAUCUAAAGGGAAGUACAAACUUCAUGCUCCACUGAUUGGUGGGGGGACCAAGUCGAUCUUACGGGAUCACAGUGGAGGACAAAAGGAGAGCAGGAAGAGUCAGUAUUUGUCAUGGGAUCCUUGUUGUAUUGAAACUGCACUUUUGAAAGUACAGAAGCACCUGUGGAGAACAUCAAAGAGAGCCGAGUGGAGCCGAGAGGAGACUAGAGAGUCAUGGAAGAAAAUAGUGAGAGACAGCAGGUGAACCACUCCGAUGAGAGAUAGGUGCGUGGAAUUCCAGAAGCGUUUGUCAGCGUUCCUAUUGACAUUUCUUUCUUUAAAUCCUCUAAUAAAAAGGAUGAAUUUUC